GAAAGAAACAUUCUUGUGACGGGGGGACUGGACAGGACUGUGCGCUUGUGGAAUCUUCAUGUGCCUGGAUGGCCUAUUGGUGUGUUGCGGGGACAUGGUUCACCAAUAAUGUACCUACGGAUUGGAGAUGAAAACACAAGAAUAUAUUCUAUAUCUGCAGAUUGCACAGUAAUGGUUUGGGACAUUGAAGACCACUCUUGUCUGGUUAGAGUGAUUUCAAAAGCAAGUUACAUCAAAGGAGAGCUAGACGC